AUUGAAUGCUGGCGGCAUGCCUAACACAUGCAAGUCGAACGAGUGGCGGACGGGUGAGUAAUGUCUGGGAAACUGCCCGAUGGAGGGGGAUAACUACUGGAAACGGUAGCUCAUACCGCAUACCAUCGGAUCUGCCCUGCUGGGGUUAGCUAGUCGGUGGGGUAACGGCCCCCCGCGGCGACGAUCCCUAGCUGGUCUGAGAGGAUGACCAGCCAAACUGGAACUGUGACCCGGUCCAGACUCCUACGGGAGGCAGGAGUGGGGGAUAUUGCACAGUGGGCGCAAGCCUGAUGGAGCCAUGCCGCGUGGAUGGAGAGGGCCUUCGGGUUGUAAAGGACUUUCAGCGAGGAGGCGUUACUCGCAGAAUAAGCACCGGCAAACCCCGUGCCAGCAGCCGCGGUAAUUC
rnacentral:rRNA from 1 species